UACGUAGGCAGCAAGCGUUGUUCGGAGUUACUGGGCGUAAAGAGUGCGUAGGUGGUGCCCUAAGUCUGUUGUGAAAUCUCCCGGCUUAACUGGGAGGGUGCGGUGGAAACUGGGGUGCUUGAGUAUGGGAGAGGUAAGCGGAAUUCCUGGUGUAGCGGUGAAAUGCGUAGAUAUCAGGAGGAACACCUGCGGUGUAGACGGCUUACUGGACCAUAACUGACGCUGAGGCACGAAAGCGUGGGUAGCAAACAGG
rnacentral:rRNA from 1 species